AUUGAACGCCGGCGGCAGGCUUAACACAUGCAAGUCGAGCGGAGCGAGGGUGCUUGCACCUUAGCUUAGCGGCGGACGGGUGAGUAAUGCUUAGGAAUCUGCCUAUUAGUGGGGAACAACAUUCCGAAAGGAAUGCUAAUACCGCAUACGCCCUACGGGGGAAAGCAGGGGAUCUUCGGACCUUGCGCUAAUAGAUGAGCCUAAGUCGGAUUAGCUAGUUGGUGGGGUAAAGGCCUACCAAGGCGACGAUCUGUAGCGGGUCUGAGAGGAUGAUCCGCCACACUGGGACUGAGACACGGCCCAGACUCCUACGGGAGGCAGCAGUGGGGAAUAUUGGACAAUGGGCGGAAGCCUGAUCCAGCCAUGCCGCGUGUGUGAAGAAGGCCUUUUGGUUGUAAAGCACUUUAAGCGAGGAGGAGGCUCUUAAGGUUAAUACCCUUGAUGAGUGGACGUUACUCGCAGAAUAAGCACCGGCUAACUCUGUGCCAGCAGCCGCGGUAAUAC
rnacentral:rRNA from 1 species